rnacentral:lncRNA from 1 species
GUAAGGUUGGGCAAUUGCUCACUUAUGUUCGAAGAAAAGAGAAUGUGACAAAAUACUAAGAAAACUUGAACACCUCUGUAAUGACUUCCCCAAUCUGUGUACCUUUCUUUGAAAGUAUAUCUUCUAAGCUAUGAAAUACAAGGUCUGCUAACUAAAUUCCAGUCUUCUGCUACUGCCAUACAUCCUUCAAAUAUGCUACAUAUAAUUCUGAUUGUUACUGCAUUUUC